rnacentral:rRNA from 1 species
AUACGAAGGGGGCUAGCGUUGUUCGGAAUUACUGGGCGUAAAGCGCGCGUAGGCGGACUGAUCAGUUGGGGGUGAAAUCCCAGGGCUUAACCCUGGAACUGCCUCCAAUACUGUCAGUCUUGAGUUCGGGAGAGGUGAGUGGAAUUCCUAGUGUAGAGGUGAAAUUCGUAGAUAUUAGGAAGAACACCAGUGGCGAAGGCGGCUCACUGGCCCGAUACUGACGCUGAGGCGCGAAAGCGUGGGGAGCAAACAGGAUUAGAUACCCCUGUAGUCC